UAUAAGGAGGGUUAACAAUGUGGAUAGAAGUGAUCUAAAGGAAAAUGUUGAAACUUCAGAGCAGGGUAAAGGAAAAUCCAGUUUCUUGGUUAAGACUAAAGCAGGCACAAAAGUGGUACCCCAAGUUAGCAACACUGGAACCAAUCUUAUAAAAAAUCGAGCAAGUGACGGCUUCAUAUCGAUCUUGGGGGAGAUGAUGCUGCACAACUUUGGGAAACCACAAUGAAUCCUGAUCAAAGAAGGUUACUAAAGCAAUUGGUUGUUGAGGAUGUUGUAGAACCAAGUGUUGUCUUGUCCUUGCUUAUGGGUGCUUGGGUAAAAGAAAAAAAUUUGGCUUUUUAUGUUGUUCUUAUCUAUUCCUAUAUAAAGUUUAAAGAAAAUAUCAUUGUAUUUAUUUUAUCCAG